CGCGUAGGCGGUUUGUUAAGUCAGAUGUGAAAGUCCACGGCUCAACUGUGGAAGUGCAUUUGAAACUGGCAGACUUGAGUACUGGAGGGGGUAGUGGAAUUCCCGGUGUAGAGGUGAAAUUCGUAGAUAUCGGGAGGAAUACCGGUGGCGAAGGCGACUGCCUGGCCAGAUACUGACGCUGAGGUGCGAAAGCGUGGGAGCAAACA
rnacentral:rRNA from 1 species